rfam:Hordeum vulgare subsp. vulgare, WGS project CAJW01000000 data, contig: morex_contig_2549089
UAUAUACUCCUUCCGUCAAAGACUUCUUGUCUUAAAUUUAUUUAGAUAUAAAUACAUCUAGUCAAGUUUUAGUAUCUAAAUACAUUUAUUUUUAGACAAAGCUAAGACAAUAAUUUUAGGACGGAAGGAGUACGUA